CAGGAUGAACGCUGGCGGUGUGCCUUAGGCAUGCAAGUCGAACGAAAAAUGCUCUUCGGAGUAUUUUUAGUGGCAGACGGGUGAGUAACACGUAGGAAUCUACCCAGUAGUGGGGAAUAGCCUUCCGAAAGGAGGGGUAAUACCGCAUGUUUCCGCAAGGACAAAGACUUCGGUCGCUAUUGGAGGAGCCUGCGCGCUAUCAGCUAGUUGGUGAGGUAAAGGCUCACCAAGGCUAUGACGGCUAGCCGAUGUGAGAGCAUGAUCGGCCACAAGGUUACUGAGACACGGAGCCUACACCUACGGGUGGCAGCAACCGGGAAUAUUGCGCAAUGGACGAAAGUCUGACGCAGCGACACCGCGUGUGGGAUGACGCUCUUCGGAGUGUAAACCACUGUGGCAGGGGAUGAAAUUUUGACAGUACCCUGCUAGAAAGCACCUGCUAACCACGUGCCAGAAGCCUCGGUAAUACGUGGGGUGCAAGCGUUAUCCGGAUUUAUUGGGCGUAAAGCGUACCGUCGGUUGUUUUCUAAGUUUCUUGUUUAAGCCUGAGGCCCAACUUCAGAGCAGCAAGAAAAACUGGAAAACUUGAGUUUGUUUGGGGCAGCUGGAAUUCUCAGUGGAGGGGUGAAAUCCGUAGAUAUUGAGAGGAACGCCAAUCGCGAAGGCAUGCUGCUAAGACAUAACUGACACUCAUGGACGAAAGCUAGGGUAGCAAAAGGGAUUAGAGACCCCUGUAGUCCUAGCCGUAAACACUCCUUGCUAGCUGUUUUCCCUUCGGGGGGAGUGGCGUAAGCUAACGC
rnacentral:rRNA from 1 species